rnacentral:rRNA from 1 species
GACGAACGCUGGCGGCGUGCUUAACACAUGCAAGUCGAACGAUGAACCCGGAGCUUGCUCCGGCGGAUUAGUGGCGAACGGGUGAGUAACACGUGAGUAAUCUGCCCUUGACUCUGGGAUAACUGCUAGAAAUGGUAGCUAAUACCGGAUACGACCCUCGGCCGCAUCGCCAGGGGGUGGAAAGAAUUUCGGUCAAGGAUGGACUCGCGGCCUAUCAGCUAGUUGGUGAGGUAACGGCUCACCAAGGCGACGACGGGUAGCCGGCCUGAGAGGGUGACCGGCCACACUGGGACUGAGACACGGCCCAGACUCCUACGGGAGGCAGCAGUGGGGAAUAUUGCACAAUGGGCGAAAGCCUGAUGCAGCAACGCCGCGUGAGGGAUGAAGGCCUUCGGGUUGUAAACCUCUUUUAGCAGGGAAGAAGCGAAAGUGACGGUACCCGCAGAAAAAGCACCGGCUAACUACGUGCCAGCCGCCGCUGUAA